UGUCAGAUAUGGUCAGGUUAAAUGCAAAAGGGUCAAGCUGAUUCAUUGUCUUUUCUUUCAAUGCUUUCAGGACAAAUGUAUGCUAUUCUCUUUAAUGUGCUGGCUACCAACGAACAAAUUAUUUGAUGCAAAAACUAAUCCAGAUCAGUUUUAAUCAAGGUUAUUAUGGCUAAGGUGUUAUACACAUCCAUUGUAGCAGUAAUCUGGCAUUUAUAAAAUAUUUUCUGCAUAUUUAUGAUAGUUUCAUAAUACAGUCACAGUUUUUAUAAGAUGCAAAGCGAAUUCAUACAUUUUAUUCAUACAUUUUAUUUACAUUUGAAAGAUAUUUUAUUAGGUAUGUCUUUUUGACUUUACUCAGUGUAAUAAGCCAGCUUAAAAGGUGAUUUAGAUAAAAUGCCAUCAAAUUUUAACAAAAACUAUUCACUGCACAAAUCAUACAUUGAUUGGGCUUAAAUAAAUUCUAGUGAUUGUGCAGGAAAAAUAGUUUUAUUCACUGAGAAUUCAGCUCUGUCAGUUGAGUUAACGAUAAUCUCUUUUUGCUAACCUUCACUUUAUCUCCUUUGUUGUCAUUUAUAAGUCUCUUAUCCCUCUCUCUCUCUCUCUCUCUCUCUCUCUCUCUCUCUCUCUCUCUCUCUCUCUCUCUCUUUCUUUCUUUCUCUCUCUCUCUCGCUCCUCUCUCUCUCUCUCUCUCUCUCUGUCCCCUCUCUCUCUCUCUUUCUCUCUCUGGUAUCUAUUGCACACUAGUAUCUCGUAUUUACUGGCCUGUCUAACAACCAUGGACAUAAACAAAAUGAAAAAUAAACUAGCUGAAAAGAAGUACUACUAUAUCUCACCAACAACCAAGAGAAAAAUAAUUGAGGUGGCCUUCUACUUGGGCUUAAUGGCUUUCCUUAGUAUUUUCAUGGUGGUGUAUUAUGUAUUUCUGUAUUCCCCAAAGAAAAGGAGUAUAUAUCAUAUGUAACCAUCUAUUCACUGAAAGUGUCAUUAAUCCACAAUUCUUGCACUAGUUUGGUUAGUAAUGUAAUUUAGGUUAUUUAACAUGCAUCAGUUUUAGUGUACAUGAACAAACCAUAAUAUUAUACACACUUUGUCAAAGAUUUUAAAAGACAUUUGCUGAGAAGACAAAUACAAAAAGAAUUCUGAUGAAAAAAAUCAAGAAGUUUUCCAUUGAAAAGAAAUGGCAUUCCUAUGUCACCAAUGCAUGCUGACGUUAUGCUGUCCAACAAAACGGUAUUCCAGAUUUUGUCAAAAACUUUGCGGAAACAAACCAUCACAGCAUGCUCGCACUUCAGCAUUCUAACAUCAGGACUGGAAAAAUUGUAGGAAUAUUAACAGUUGUAGGAAAUCUCAGCAUUAUACUUACUACACAGAUCAUUUCGGUGUUGUGAAAUAACUGUACAAAUCAAUAGUAACUAGGACAUGGUGAGCUCCAGUGAGUCGAAUUCAUAAAAUGGUUUCGCAUCCUUGUUUCGCUAUUUCACUUCACUAAUAUUGCUGAAACUCUUAUUAAAGGCUUCAAUGCCAUACAAUUCCUUAUUCUUUACCAAUGAGUUUGUGGCCAUUUAUUUAAAUAAAAAUGUUCACAGCAUCCACCAAGAUAUAGCUAGACAAUAUACUGCCAUAAACCUCUCAGAACAUCACAUAGACUUUAUCUCAAAGAAUAGUUAAAAUCUCAAAGAAUAGUUAAAUUUCCUUAACAACUGACAAAAAAAUUGGUAAAGAAUAUCGCGUUCUUCAGUGUAAACUAAUUCUUGUUAUGUUUUCUUUGAGUGCUCCCAAAACCAGAUCCAAAGUACAAUAAUGAAUUUUUCCUUCGUAAAAAUAUUUCUAAAAUCAUGACUCGCACCACUCAAGUUUAAUAAAAAUGGUUACAUCACUUAUAAAAA
rnacentral:lncRNA from 1 species